CCUACGGGUGGCUGCAGUGGGGAAUAUUGGACAAUGGGGGCAACCCUGAUCCAGCCAUGCCGCGUGUGUGAAGAAGGCCCUCGGGUUGUAAAGCACUUUCAGUGAGGAAGAACGCCUGUUGGUGAAUACCCAUCAGGAAAGACAUCACUCACAGAAGAAGCACCGGCUAACUCCGUGCCAGCAGCCGCGGUAAUACGGAGGGUGCGAGCGUUAAUCGGAAUUACUGGGCGUAAAGCGCGCGUAGGUGGCUUGAUAAGCCGGGUGUGAAAGCCACGGGCUCAACCUGGGAACGGCAUCCGGAACUGUCAAGCUAGAGUGCAGGGGAGGAAGGUAGAAUUCCCGGGGUAGCGGUGAAAGGCGUAGAGAUCGGGAGGAAUACCAGUGGCGAAGGGGGCCUUCUGGACUGACACUGACACUGAGGUGCGAAAGCGUGGGUAGCAAACAGGAUUAGAUACCCCGGUAGUC
rnacentral:rRNA from 1 species